rnacentral:rRNA from 1 species
GGACGAACGCUGGCGGCGUGCUUCAUACAUGCAAGUCGAACGAGAAUCUCACUUCGGUGAGAGGAAAGUGGCGGACGGGUGAGUAAUGUGUAGAGAAUCUGCCCUAGAGUGAGGGACAACAGAGGGAAACUUCUGCUAAUACCUCAUAUGCGCGUAGCUGAGAUGCUAUUCGUGAAAACUCCGGUGCUCUGGGAUGAGUCUGCAUCUGAUUAGCUAGUUGGGGGUGUAAUGGACCACCAAGGCGACGAUCAGUAGCUGGUUUGAGAGGAUGAUCAGCCACAAUGGGACUGAGACACGGCCCAUACUCCUACGGGAGGCAGCAGUAGGGAAUUUUGCGCAAUGGGGGAAACCCUGACGCAGCAACGCCGCGUGAACGAAAAAGCCCUUCGGGGUGUAAAGUUCUGUCAGUGGGGACGAAACUUGACGGUACCCACAGAGGAAGCAUCGGCUAACUCCGUGCCAGCAGCCGC